CCCUUAGAUGUUCUGGGCCGCACACGCGCUACACAGAAGGAGGCAGCGUGUACUCCUGGAUCGAAAGAUUUGGGUAACCCGCGAAUCUCCUUCGUGCUAGGGAUUGAGGUUUGCAAUUAUCCUUCAUGAACGAGGAAUUCCCAGUAAGUGCAAGUCAUAAGCUUGCGCUGACUACGUCCCUGCCCUUUGUACACACCGCCCGUCGCUACUACCGAUUGAAUGAUUUAGUGAGGACUUCGGACUGGGACCGAUGCGGCUUUCGGGCUGCGUCGGUAUUCUGGAAAGAUGUCCAAACUGUAUCAUUUAGAGGAAGUAAAAGUCGUAACA
rnacentral:rRNA from 1 species